rnacentral:rRNA from 1 species
UCGACAUUUCGAACGCACAUUGCGGUCCUCGGAUUUGAUUCCCGGACCACGCCUGGCUGAGGGUCGUUUAUGAUAAAAGUACCAGACUGCUUUUGUGUGCGCGUGCGUACCGCAUGAGCGAUAGCCUGAGCGUUCGUUGCUGGAAUGAGAGAAAAUCGUUUACGAUGUAAACGUUCUUUCACAAAGCGGCGUCGCUCGAAACGAAUUGUCAUUUAUAAUUUCGAAUGCAGCGACGAUGAUAAAGCCACAGUAAGCGCUCGAACGGGAUAAACGUUUUCGAGGAGCAAAUAUCGUCGAGUCCCGGAGCUCUUGCCCGUUGAGAACGGGCCGGGCGGACCGACGAUGGCUUUUAUGCAUGCUUCUCGCUUACAUAGCUUACUAGUGUAUGUUGUUGUUGCGCGCAAUCGAACAUAUAUUUAUAAUACGACGACCUCAGAGCAGGCGAGAC